AAGCUGGAAUUGCUAGUAAUCACAGGUCAGCAUACUGUGGUGAAUACGUUCCCGGGCCUUGUACACACCGCCCGUCACACCAUGAGAGUUGAGAAUACCCGAAGCCCAUGUCAAAGUGGUCGAAGGUAGGCUUGAUGAUUGGGGUGAAGUCGUAACAAGGUAUC
rnacentral:rRNA from 1 species